AUCCAGUGCCCAGUCCCACGCAGCUCAAAGCUUAAAAGUAGCCUUCCCCAUCUCUCUCUUCCUUUACUCUUUUUCUUCCAAACCUCAGCUUAAUUCAGCUGAAAAUGGCACCUUCAUCUCUGCCACAAACACCGCCGUCCGCCGUGGUUAUUGUCCUCUUCUUACUCUUCUCCACGGCAUUGCUUUGUGAAUCAAGGUUAAGCUUAGAUUACUACUCCAAAACCUGUCCCAGUUUCACCAAAAUCAUGCAAGACACCAUAACCAACAAGCAAAUCACCAGCCCCACAACCGCCGCCGGUGCACUCCGUCUAUUUUUCCACGACUGUCUUCCCAACGGUUGCGAUGGUUCCAUCCUCAUAUCUUCCACCGCAUUCAACAAAGCUGAACGUGAUGCCGACAUCAACUUAUCUCUCCCUGGAGAUCCAUUUGACCUCAUUGUUCGAGCCAAAACAGCCCUUGAACUCGCCUGUCCCAACACCGUCUCUUGCUCCGACAUCCUCGCCGUCGCUACUCGUGACUUAGUCACCAUGCUUGGUGGACCGUACUACAAUGUUUAUCUGGGUCGCAAAGAUUCACGAGUUUCAUCAGCUUCUUCACUAGAAGGGAAGUUACCUAAACCCACCAUGAGUAUGUCACAACUUAUAAAUCUUUUCUCUUCAAGUGGGUUCACUGUUCAAGAAAUGGUGGCUUUAAGUGGAGCGCAUACAAUUGGGUUUUCUCAUUGCAAAGAGUUUAGCUCAAAUAUAAGCAAUGAUACCCAUUAUAAUCCUAGAUUUGCUCAAGCAUUGAAACAAGCUUGUUCAGGUUAUCCAAAUAACCCAACAUUAUCAGUUUUUAAUGAUAUUAUGACCCCCAACAAAUUUGAUAACUUGUAUUAUCAAAAUCUACCAAAGGGUUUGGGGCUUUUGGAAUCAGAUCAUGGAUUGUAUGGUGAUCCCAGAACAAAACCAUUUGUGGAAUUGUAUGCAAGGGAUCAAAACAAGUUCUUUCAAGAUUUCGCUAAAGCUAUGCAGAAGCUAAGUGUUUAUGGGAUCAAAACUGGGAGAAGAGGAGAGAUUAGACACAGAAUUCAACUGCCAAUGAAAGAAACCAUUUUCCAAGAAAUCAAUCUGAUUUUAAAACUAUUUUGAGGAUUGGAACUUGAUCAAUUCAAUUUCUUCAAGGUUUGAGCUUAAAGUUAUGAGCUGGAAAUGCCGGAACUUGAUCAAUUCAAUUUCUUCAAGGUUUGAGCUUAAAGUUAUGAACUGGAAAUGCCUUAUCACCAUCCCACCUAGGUUGUUUGCUGAAGGUUUAUGAUGGAUGGUGGAUUAUGCUACUUUGAUGGUUUGCUAUUACUAAUGCUAUGACUAAUGUUGCUUUGAUGAUUAAUGUUCAUUGCUGGUGUCUCUUAGGAGGAGUUUAAGUUUAAGAUUUUUUUUUUUUAUACUUUCCUUGCUUGAGAGAAUUUGUUGCAAUUUUAGUGUUGUCAAAUGUAACUCACUUUGCAACUAGACACAAUGUAACUUGCCUAUUUUGACAUUUAAAGGAUGUUGUGCAAAAGUUUUCAUGGUUAUUAGUGGUGAAGCUAUUUAAUCAAUUAAGGAUAUUUUGAAGAGUUCUUAA